GACGCGGGAUGCGAGCGUUAUCCGGAAUCACUGGGCGUAAAGCGUCUGGAGGUGGUGAUGCAAGUCACUGGUGCAAAACUCUGGCUCAACCGGAGGAAAGCCAGUGAAACUGCAUGACUAGAGUGUGGGAGAGGUAGAAGGAAUUCCCUGAGUAGCGGUGAAAUGCGUAGAUAAAGGGAAGAACACCGGAGGCGAAAGCGUUCUACUGGAACACAACUGACACUGAGAGACGAAAGCUAGGGGAGCGAAUGGG
rnacentral:rRNA from 1 species